rnacentral:tRNA from 1 species
GCCAACGUAGCUCAGUUGGUAGAGCAACGCUUUUGUAAAGCGAAGGUCGGGGGUUCGAAUCCUCUCGUUGGCUCCA